AUGUUGAUGGAGCGAGUAGUUCAGCCGAUCCAUGAGGGUGUGGCUGGUAUGGAUCUUCUCGAGGCAUUCCUCAGUCGACGUAUUCAACCCCUCCAGGCUCGUGGUCACUCCACGUGGAUGUACUCGGGGAUUGAAGAUUCCACUCGGAUCCACCCAGAGGACGUUGAUGAGAAGUCAGUGGCACAGUGGGUGCAAAGCAUGAUAGGGAACAAGGAUAACCCCAGGGGGUCCCGAAGAGUUUUACCAUUUGACACCAACAACCAACCAGACAAGGUUUAUACGGAUCCGUACUCAAUGACGAACGAGGAGCAAGAGCAGUACCAGGAAGGAGAAGAAAGCGGAGGCGAAAGCAUGGAUUGUCAGUCUGAUGGAGGAGAAGAGGAGGAAAGCGAGGACUCAAGCAAUGGUGAAGAAGUCGAGUCACCACCUUGCAACGAAAAGCGUUCCAAACAUAAGCACGACCCAUCAAGUAUCCACGGCGAAGUAGCUAAGCCGACCAGACAGACUUCGAAGCGCACUCGGACCUCUUCGCCUAUGCCGACUCAGAAGGCUCCAAAGCAGCCAAAAGUUGCAGAACCAAAGCCUCGGAAGACCCUGCCCAAGAUCAAGAUCGACGUCCCUGUCACUUCUGCAGCUGCUACCUCUGGGACUUCUGCUUACAGGGAUGAUGACGAGGAUGUGGAAGACGCGGUCACUUCUAACCCGGCUCCUCCCAAUGUCAUUGAUCUUCCAGAUGACGAUGAGGAUGUGCCGCUGAGGCCCAGGAGGAGUAAGAAGACAUCAACUAGCAAGGUGCCCCAGUCGACACUAGUGACGGAGCCAGUGAUCCAGGAGACCGGUGAUGCCAACCGAGCUUCUGUGUCUUUUGCCGUACCAUUGUCGAGUGCUCAGCUUUAG
rnacentral:rRNA from 1 species